rnacentral:rRNA from 1 species
GACGAACGCUGGCGGCGUGCUUAACACAUGCAAGUCGAACGGAAAGGCCCUGCUUUUGUUGGGUUCUCGAGUGGCGAACGGGUGAGUAACACGUGAGUAACCUGCCCUUGACUUUGGGAUAACUUCAGGAAACUGGGGCUAAUACCGGAUAGGAUCUCCUGCUGCAUGGUGGGGGUUGGAAAGUUUCGGCGGUUGUGGAUGGACUCGCGGCUUAUCAGCUUGUUGGUGGGGUAGUGGCUUACCAAGGCUUUGACGGGUAGCCGGCCUGAGAGGGUUACCGGCCACAUUGGGACUGAGAUACGGCCCAGAAUCCUACGGGAGGCAGCAGUGGGGAAUAUUGCACAAUGGGCGGAAGCCUGAUGCAGCAACGCCGCGUGCGGGAUGACGGCCUUCGGGUUGUAAACCGCUUUCGACUGUGACGAAGCGUGAGUGACGGUAAUGGGUAAAGAAGCACCGGCUAACUACGUG